rnacentral:rRNA from 1 species
UACGGAGGGUGCAAGCGUUAAUCGGAAUUACUGGGCGUAAAGCGUGCGCAGGCGGCGCCGCAAGUCAGGCGUGAAAUCCCCGAGCUUAACUUGGGAAUGGCGCUUGAAACUACGGUGCUGGAGUGUGGCAGAGGGAGGUGGAAUUCCACGUGUAGCGGUGAAAUGCGUAGAGAUGUGGAGGAACACCGAUGGCGAAGGCAGCCUCCUGGGCCAACACUGACGCUCAUGCACGAAAGCGUGGGGAGCAAACAGG